CGCGACGUCCCGGAGAGCCCGGGCUGAGCCAAAACUGGGAGGAGGCUGGGGGCGUUGACUUUCUUCCUGGAGUUGUGGGGGUUUGUGUGGCCCGCGCCGAGGGCUCAGUAUAGGGGCGUCAUUGCAGGGCACCAGUAAACCACCUUGAAUUGCUCGGUGGUGGUCGGCAGCUUUCCUGAGUUCCGGGCUCCCACGAGCCCUGUUUCAAGGGAAACAGUCCUUAGUAAUAGUAGUAGUCGUAAUAGUAGUAGACUUUAGUAUUAAGGGAUCGGGGGUGGAAUCCCGCUGCUUGAGAGGCUGUAUCAUGAAACGUUUAAACUGGAGCUGGGCUACUGGUGGGGAGGAAGUGGGCAUGCACGAACUUCUUGCACUGUGAAGGCGCCCCCACCGCCAAACCAGAGCCUGCGCUUCCACUGGUUCUCCUUCCCCAGAAUUCUCUGGUCCAAACCUGUACUUAUUUUCUUGGUGGAACAAGAAAGCCUGAAGCCUAGAAUCCUGGGUCUGAGAUGAAGGUGCAGAGUACCCAGCCCAGCAGAAUUCUCUCUUCUGGGACUUAGUGCUGAAAGUAAUGACACAGAGAGGAUGAUAUGGAAAGAGCAAAAUCCGUAAGAGCUGGUGUGGAAAGUGAAGACUCCUCCCCAGCUCUGCAAGCAAGGACUUAUCCAGAUAGCUCUCCCAGGACUACAGCCAACUCUUUGUAACACAAGGCCUGCAGGGACCUCUGGAAAUCCAUGAUGAGACUUCUGAUGAGGGUAGGCAGCAGCUCUUCCAGCUAGAGGUGUUCUCUCCCCUGGAUCCCGGCUGGCUGUAUGGUGCCUGAAGAUGUUCCUUAGGGGUAUGGUGAUGCUUCCAGCUGUGAGUUCUUGGAGAACCUUCUCAACCUUGAAUUGGAGCCUAAUUCCCUCCUCUUGAGUAUGAGCUGGACCUAGACCUCGAAUCUAAUAAAUGGAAGAAAGCAGAACUUACAAUGUGUGACUUUGGGGACCAGAUCAUAAAAAGACACCCUCUUUUGCUCUAUCCUGGAUCACUUGCUCUGGGGGAAGCCAGAUGACAUGUUGUAAGUAGCUCUAUGGAAUCCUAUAUAGAGACCCACUUGGAAGAAACUGAGGCCUCCUGCCAACAGCCACGUCAGUGAACUUGGAAGCAAAUCCUUCAGGCCCUUUCAAGCCUUCAAAUGGCUGCAGACCUGGCCAACAUCUUGCCUGCCACCUCAUGAGAGACCCUGACCUACAGCCAUCCAGCUAAGCCUCUCCCAAAUUCCUGAUACAUGGAAACCGAGAUGAUAACUCUUGUUGUUAAGCUACUAAAUUUUGAGGCCAUGUAUUAUACACAGGUAGAAUGAUGGGAAUGGAAAAGAAAGCGAGGGUAAAGCAAUCAUCUGGAAGUAUCUCUUACUUCUGUUUAUUAGAAAUUAUUAUUAUUAUUAUUUUUAAAGAUUUUAUUUAUUUAUUUGACAGAGAGAGAGAGACAGCGAGAGCAGGAACACAAGCAAGGGGAGUGGAAGAGGGAGAAGCAGGCUUCCCGCCGAGCAGGGAGCCCGAUGUGGGACUCGAUCCCAGGACCCUGGGAUCAUGACCUGAGCCGAAGGCAGACGCUUAACGACUGAGCCACCCAGGCGCCCUAUUAGAAAUUAUUUAUACUCUCCCCUUGCAAUGUAAACUUCUUGAGGAGAGGAUCUUUGCCUACCUUUUCACUGGUUUAUCUUUUUUUUUUUUUUAGAUUUUACUUAUUUAUUUGAGAGAGAGAGAGAGAGUGAGCGGUGCAAGCAGAGGGAGGGCAGAUGGAGAGGGAGAGAGAGAAUCUCAAGCAGAUGCCACACUGAGCACGGAGUCCGAAGCAGGGCUCGAUCUCAUGACCCUGAGAUCAUGAUGUGAGCCGAAACCAAGAGUCAGACAUUCAACCAACUGAGCCACCCAGGUGCCCCUUCACUGAUUUAUCUUAAGCUUCUAGUAUAUAACAGACUCUCAGGAUUGGCAGGGAAAAGCCAUGAAAAAGAAGGGGUCAGAUAUCAGUAGGUCUGAUAUGCCAGUAACAGGAGUGAAGUGUAAUUGAAUAGUCAAUUAAAAUAUCUAGAGGGGCGCCUGGGUGGCUCAGUCGGUUAAGCAACUGCCUUCGGCUCAGGUCAUGAUCCUGGAGUCCCGGGAUCGGGUCCCGGGUCAGGCUCCCUGCUCGGCGGGGAGUCUGCUUCUCCCUCUGACCCUCCUCCCUCUCGUGCUCUCUGUCUCUCAUUCUCUCUCGCAAAUAAAUGAAUAAAAUCUUUAAAAAAAUAAAAUAAAAUAAAAUAUCUAGAAAAAGUAACAAGCAGCCAGUUUGAUGUGGAGGCCUAGAGGAGGACUUCUCCACCUCCGCACUGUUAAUAGUUUGGACCAGAUUCUUUUUUGUUGUGAGGAGCAUGGUAAGAUGUUUAGUAGACGUAGUCCUAACCUCUACCCACUAGAAGUCACUAGCACACACACCACCUCCCUGUCCUCCUCUCCCUGCCACCACCCUCCCUCCUCAAAACCAAAAAAUAUCUCUAGACAUUGCCAAGUGUUCCCGGGGAAGGGGAAUCACCCCCCAAUCCCCAGUUGGGGAUCACUGUCCUAGAGGAUAGAAUGACAAUUGAACCCAAGGGAAAGGGGUUGGAUCCCUGAAUCCUGGGGAAAUGCACUUUAAAAAUGAAGAUUGUCAGGGUACCUAGCGGGCUCAGUCAGAAGAGCAUGUGACUCUUGAUCUCUGGGUCAUGAGUUCAAGCCCCACGUUGGGUGCAGAGAUUACUUAUAAAUAGAUAAAUAAACUUUAAAUUUUUAAAAAAAUAAAUAAAUAAAGAGGAGGGCUGUGGGGCACCUCGUGGCUCAGUGAGUUAAGUGUUGGACUCUUGAUCUCAGCUCAGGUCUUGAUCUCAGGGUUGUGAGUUUAAGCCCCGUGUUGGGCCCCACACUGGGUAUGGAGCCUACUUAAAAUUAAAAAAAAAGAAGAAGACUGACAAAAGACAGAAGAGCCAGAAAAGUAAAACCAAAACAAAACAAAAAGGGAUUCAGAAGCCAAUGAAAGCAAGUGGCAGAGUGUUUUAAUGAGGUAGUUGGCAGGACUUGGGAGAGAAUUGUUUUAAUGGAAUCGCGUGACAAAACCCUGUUGCAGUGUGUCUGUGCGUGCUUGUGUACAACUAGGUGAGACAGGUCAUGAAAAAGUAGAUGCAGUCUGGUAGCUAGCAACAAGAAAGCGACCAGGCAAAUAUGGAACAACAUGGUCAAAAGCAGAGAGAAAGAAUCAGAGAGGGUGAGGCUGCAGGGAAAUUGGGAAGAGAGAAAGCAAAGGUGUAUUCCACCGCCAUUCUUCAUUCCUGGAGGGUCUUGAAAAGGACAGAGUAUCAAUCUUUCCCCUUCUCAAGAGGGAAAGAGGAUGUUUGUUGAAGGAAGGAAGAAGGGAACAGAGCCCUAAACAAAUUAAGUUGGAGAAAAGCAUGAAAUGGGAUCUGGACCCUACCCUUAGCUUCCUCAGACUAAUUUCAAGAGAUUGGCUUCCUGGAUUGGGAGCCCUAAGAAUUUUCUCUUGCAGCACCUGGCUGGCUCAACUGGAAGAGUAUGUGACUCUUGAUCUCUGGGUCUCAAGUUUGAGCCCCAUUUGGGGCAUAGAUGUAAAUAAAUAAUACUUUAAAAAAAUAAAAAGUCAAUUUAAAAAAGAAUUUUCUAAACAGUAUGAGACCAUGGCAUUCUUUUAGAACACAGUAGACCACAGAAGGUUCUGGAAAGGAUAUUCCUGUGCAUUUCUACUACUCUUCCAUGAGUUAAGACCCCUGUUUACUCUGAUGUGAAUGAACAAAAGCAAAAACCUCUUUUCACCUCCAGGUUCUCCUCUUCCAAAUCUUAAAACCAUAUAACUCCCUUGCUCAAGAACAUUUAAUACCUCCCUGCCACCUACAGUGUAAGGACCAAAAUUCUUGUUUCAUUUUCAGAGAAAGGGAUUCCUCCCUUUUCUAGGGCUGCUGUAACUAAGUACCAUAAACUGGUUUAUGGUUUCAAACAACAGAAAUCUAUUCUCUCACAACAGAAAUUUAUUCUCUCACAGUUUUGGAAGCUAGAAAUCCAAAAUCGAGGUCCCAGCUGGGCCAUGUUCCCUCUGAGACCCUGAUCAGAAUUUGCUUCUUCCCAGCUUCUGAUGGUGGCCACCAAUCCUUGACAUUCCUUGGCCUGCAGCUGCGUCAUUAUAAUCUCUGUCCUGUCAUCACAUGGCAUUCUCUUUGAGUCUGUCAUUGGGUGUCUGUUUUCCCUUCUUAUAAAGACACCAGCCACUGGGGCACUUGGCUGGCUCAGUCGGUACAGCAUGCCUCUCUUGAUCUUGGGGUCGUGAAUUCAAGUGCCAAGUUGGGCAUAGUGCUUACUUAAAUAAAUAAAUAAACAAACAAGUUCUAUUAGAUUAGGGCCCACUCUAAUUGGGUGUGAGCUCAUCUUAACGGGAUUACAUUUACAAAGACCCUAUUUUCAAAUAAAGUCACAUUCUGAGCUGUUGGGGAUUAGGACUUGAACAUUUCUGGGGACAUUUGCAAAAACUCUCCCUCAGAUACUCUACACUAGAGCCAAAGUGAUCUAAUUAUUACCAUGCUAUGAAUCCUAUGCUUUCCCACCCUCUCCCAGGCCAUCGUCAUGUCUCUAUUUGUCCAUCCUUGAAGGCCCAGAUCAAAUGGCACCUCUUCCCUGAAGGCUUCUUCAAGUGCCUUCCUCUGAUCUUCUAGGGUAUUUCUCACUGUCCCUUCUGCCCUGCAUUUAUUUGUGUUCCUUUCUAAAAUGCUGCUCAACUCAAAGAACUGGAUGGAGGACAAAUUAGAUAAUACACGGGGAAGUUUUGGAAUACUAGAGUGUGCUCAAAUUUUAGCGAGGUGACAAAGAACUUUCACACACUUUAAAACAGCUUUACUGAGGUAGAGCUCACCUACCACAUAAUUCACCUCUUCGAAGAGUGCAAUUCGAAGGCAUCCUAUUAGCAUCAUUACAACCUAAUUUUAGGACAUUUUCAUCACUCCCAAAAGAAACUUCAUAUCCAUUCACUGUCACUUUCUAUUUCCCAACCCCCCUCCCCAGCCCUUCUUCUACAGAUCCGUUUAUUCUGGACAUUUCAUAUAAACCUUCACACAUUUUAAUUUGACUCCCACAAGGACUUCUCUUCAUGGGAAUUUUUUUACAAUGAUCUUUGGGGAUCAACACCCCUAUUUUUCAGGAGUAAACUGACUUGUUGAGGAUGUGUAAAACCUAAACUUGCACAUGGAUUUCGGAUUUGCUGCAUAGAGGAGAUGCUAUCUUUUUUUUUUUUUAGAUUUUAUUUAUUUAUUUGAGAGAGAGACAGACAGAGAUAGUGAGAAGAGAGCAUGAGCAGGGAGGAGAGAAGCAGGCUCCCACGUGGGACUCUAUCCCAGGACCCUGGGAUCAUGACCUGAGCCGAAGGCAGAUGCUUAACGGACUGAGCCACCCAGGUGUCCCAGAGGAGCUGCUAUCUUGAGCUCCGGAGUGGGAAGGCCGCGGUCCUCCAUCCAGCAGCCCCGUUGGAAUCGAAGCUGCGCCGGGAGGAGCUAACCCCAAGCUCCGCGGGGAGAGCCGCCUGGGUUCUCCCCCCUCACUCUGGCCGCUGCAUUGCAAGUGAGAGCAGCCACCAGCCACCUUUUCCUCCAGGCACCGGGGUCACCCGCCCCACUAGGAUCCAGAGAGGCGCGGCGGCAGGUCACUCCUGCAGGCGCCAUUCACACCUCCCCGGUCCCCGAGGCCCAAUCACCUUGCAGCUUGUUUCAGCGUUGUACCGGAAAUGGCCUAUCAACGAGCGCGAUCCUGGGACGGCCCCCAGCUCCAGCGGCGCCCAGAGUCGCGUGCCGCGGCGCCCAGGGCGGCGAGGAGCCGGGAGCCCCAGCCGUGCUUGCUUCAGUAAGGUGAACUUGACCUAGCGAGGAAAGGUCAUCACACGGCUUUGGCGGGAGCCGCGGUGAAGCUGGCAUCGCCAGCUUUGCUACGGGACUUUCUCAGGAUACGGAUCCAAAAUGAGAGGUCCUCCAGGGGCUCAUAAACUUAAGGGGCGGCCUGGGGCUCCGAGUGGGGAGGAACGCAGGACGGGAAGGAGGCGUCCCCAGGCCGACGUGGGUCUAAUUAAGAAGUCGGCAGAAGUCCUAGCCCUACAUACCCACCCCUUCCCAAGCUGCCGUAUUUUUUAAAUGGGGGGGGGGGGGGGCGGGUAAUGACUAAAAAAACAAAACAAAAAGUACAGCAGUGGUGUAUCUUAAAUGCAUUUAGCAUACUGAUGCUUUUAAUACAAAAAUACACUGCAGUGUAAUUUUGCUAUUCACAAAAUAACUAUAAGAGAAAAAUAAUACAUAAGGUAAGGUCUAGUAAUAGUUUCUGGGUCCAGACUACUUGUUUGAAGAUAAAAAUCAAAAGUUUACAUUCUAGGGGCGCCUGGGUGGCUCAGUCAGUUAAGCGGCUGCCUUCGGCUCAGGUCAUGAUCCCAGGGACCUGGGAUCCAGUCCCGCAUUGGGCUCUCUGCUCAGCGGGGAGUUUGUUUCCUCUCCCUCUGCCCCUGCCCCUACCCCUGCUCUGCUCUCUCGCUCACUCUCUCUCAAAUAAAUAAAUAAAAUCUUAAAAAAAAAAAAAAGUUUACAUUUCAGUUUCCUGAAAAUAAGGCCUGGGGCCAAAGACCCUCUGCCUCCGACCAGCCUAGGCCAUGCUUCUGAAGCCCCAAAGCUGUGGGUCCCAGAGGUAGCACAUUCAGUACCUCCAAGUGGUUAAGUGCUUGGGCACUGAUAUUAGACAGACUUGAAUUCUGAUCCUGAUUCUCUUACAUGUGGUGUGGGCUUGGGCAAACCAGUUAA